rnacentral:rRNA from 1 species
UGCAAAAAAAGGCUUUCUAAACUAGAGGGACCGCUGUUACUUUCUUAAACCAGAGGAAGGUUGCGGCAAUAACAGGUCUGUGAUGCCCUUAGAUGUUCCGGGCUGCACACGUGCUACAAUGAUCAGUACAGUGAGCAUCUCAUUUUUUAUACACCGCAUGCGCGAGUCCAUUUAUUCACCUUCUGGGUGCUUUAAAUGUGUAUCUCUGCGCGCGGUAAAGCCUGCUUCGAAAGUAAGUGGGUAAUCAAUUAGAAGUAAUGAUUUCCUUUUUAGCACACAUAUAUACGGCAUUUAUGCCCGGGCUGCCUUGUUGUAGCUUUUGUGCGCAUAAGUGUUUUUUCCGUAUGUGCGAUUGUCAAUUCAUG